ensembl:snRNA U4 U4 spliceosomal RNA
AGCUUUGCGCAGUGGCAAUGGUACAGGCAAUGAGGUGUAUCUGAGGCACGAUUAUUGCUAAUUGAAAACUUUCCCAAUACCCUGCCAUGACAACUUGAAAUAUAGUUGGCAUUGGCAAUUUCAGUCUCUAUAAAGA